rnacentral:rRNA from 1 species
UGCAAGUCGUGCGGACCUUUUAAAAGCUUGCUUUUAAAAGGUUAGCGGCGGACGGGUGAGUAACACGUGGGCAACCUGCCUGUAAGACUGGGAUAACGCCGGGAAACCGGGGCUAAUACCAGAUCGUUUUUUCCUCCGCAUGGAGGAAAAAGGAAAGGCGGCUUCGGCUGCCACUUACAGAUGGGCCCGCGGCGCAUUAGCUAGUUGGCAGGGUAACGGCCCACCAAGGCAACGAUGCGUAGCCGACCUGAGAGGGUGAUCGGCCACAUUGGGACUGAGACACGGCCCAAACUCCUACGGGAGGCAGCAGUAGGGAAUCUUCCGCAAUGGACGAAAGUCUGACGGAGCAACGCCGCGUGAGUGAAGAAGGCCUUCGGGUCGUAAAACUCUGUUGCCGGGGAAGAACAAGUGCCGUUCGAACAGGGCGGCGCCUUGACGGUACCCGGCCAGAAAGCCACGGCUAACUAC